GUGGGGAAUAUUGGACAAUGGGCGAAAGCCUGAUCCAGCCAUGCCGCGUGUGUGAAGAAGGUCUUCGGAUUGUAAAGCACUUUAAGUUGGGAGGAAGGGCAGUAAGUUAAUACCUUGCUGUUUUGACGUUACCGACAGAAUAAGCACCGGCUAACUUCGUGCCAGCAGCCGCGGUAAUACGAAGGGUGCAAGCGUUAAUCGGAAUUACUGGGCGUAAAGCGCGCGUAGGUGGUUUUGUAAGUUGGAGGUGAAAUCCCCGGGCUCAACCUGGGAACUGCCUCCAAAACUGCAUGACUAGAGUACGGUAGAGGGUAGUGGAAUUUCCUGUGUAGCGGUGAAAUGCGUAGAUAUAGGAAGGAACACCAGUGGCGAAGGCGACCACCUGGACUGAUACUGACACUGAGGUGCGAAAGCGUGGGGAGCAAACAGGAUUAGAUACCCGGGUAGUCC
rnacentral:rRNA from 1 species